UAACUGGGGGAUAGCCCGCCGAAAGGCGGAUUAAUACCGCAUAAGCUGCUUGAGUGGGAUCACUCGAUUAGUAAAGAUUUAUUGGUUAUAGAUGGGGUUGCGGGUCAUUAGCUAGUUGGUAAGGUAACGGCUUACCAAGGCGACGAUGACUAGGGGAGCUGAGAGGCUGGUCCCCCACACGGGCACUGAGAUACGGGCCCGACUCCUACGGGAGGCAGCAGUAGGGGAAUAUUGGGCAAUGGGCGAGAGCCUGACCCAGCCAUGCCGCGUGCAGGAAGAAGGC
rnacentral:rRNA from 1 species